rnacentral:rRNA from 1 species
AUUGAACGCUGGCGGCAGGCUUAACACAUGCAAGUCGAGCGGAGCGAGGGUGCUUGCACCUUAGCUUAGCGGCGGACGGGUGAGUAACACGUGGGUAACCUGCCUCAUAGAGGGGAAUAGCCUUCCGAAAGGAAGAUUAAUACCGCAUAAGAUUGUAGUACCGCAUGGUACAGCAAUUAAAGGAGUAAUCCGCUAUGAGAUGGACCCGCGUCGCAUUAGCUAGUUGGUGAGGUAACGGCUCACCAAGGCGACGAUGCGUAGCCGACCUGAGAGGGUGAUCGGCCACAUUGGGACUGAGACACGGCCCAGACUCCUACGGGAGGCAGCAGUGGGGAAUAUUGCACAAUGGGGGAAACCCUGAUGCAGCAACGCCGCGUGAGUGAUGACGGUCUUCGGAUUGUAAAGCUCUGUCUUCAGGGACGAUAAUGACGGUACCUGAGGAGGAAGCCACGGCUAACUACGUGCCAGCCGCCGCCGUAAAAC